rnacentral:rRNA from 1 species
UCGAGAAUUUUUCUCAAUGGGGGAAACCCUGAAGGAGCGACGCCGCGUGGAGGAUGAAGGUCUUCGGAUUGUAAACUCCUGUCAUUUGAGAACAAGUGAUUGCCGGUAACUACGGCGGUCUUGAUAGUAUCAGAAGAGGAAGAGGCGGCUAACUCUGUGCCAGCAGCCGCGGGAAUACAGAGGCCUCAAGCGUUGUUCGGAUUCAUUGGGCGUAAAGGGUGCGUAGGCGGUUCCGUUAGUCGGGUGUGAAAUCGUGGGGCUCAACCCCAAAACUGCAUUCGAUACUGCGGGGCUAGAGGACUGGAGAGGAGAGUGGAAUUCACGGUGUAGCAGUGAAAUGCGUAGAUAUCGUGAGGAAGACCAGCGGCGAAGGCGGCUCUCUGGACAGUUCCUGACGCUGAUGCGCGAAGGCCAGGGGAGCAAAC